rnacentral:rRNA from 1 species
GACGAACGCUGGCGGCGUGCUUAACACAUGCAAGUCGAACGAUGAAACCUAGCUUGCUAGGUCGAUUAGUGGCGAACGGGUGAGUAACACGUGGGUGAUCUGCCCUGCACUUCGGGAUAAGCCUGGGAAACUGGGUCUAAUACCGGAUAGGACCACUGCCUGCAUGGGUGGUGGUGGAAAGCUUUUGCGGUGUGGGAUGGGCCCGCGGCCUAUCAGCUUGUUGGUGGGGUGAUGGCCUACCAAGGCGACGACGGGUAGCCGGCCUGAGAGGGUGACCGGCCACACUGGGACUGAGAUACGGCGCAGACUCCUACGGGAGGCAGCAGUGGGGAAUAUUGCACAAUGGGCGCAAGCCUGAUGCAGCGACGCCGCGUGAGGGAUGACGGCCUUCGGGUUGUAAACCUCUUUCAGCACCGACGAAGCGCAAGUGGCGGUAGGUGCAGAAGAAGGACCGGCCAACUACGUGCCAGCCGCCGCCGUAA